UGGGGAAUUUUUCGCAAUGGGCGCAAGCCUGACGAAGCAACGCCGCGUGGGGGAUGAAGGUCUUCGGAUUGUAAACUCCUGUCGACCGGGACGAAUGCACCCAACCUAAUACGUUGAAGUGUUGACGGUACCGGUGGAGGAAGCCACGGCUAACUCUGUGCCAGCAGCCGCGGUAAUACAGAGGUGGCAAGCGUUGUUCGGAAUUACUGGGCGUAAAGGGCGCGUAGGCGGCCCCAUAAGUCUCGUGUGAAAGCCCUCGGCUUAACUGAGGAUCUGCACGGGAUACUGUAGGGCUCGAGUUCGGGAGAGGAAAGCGGAAUUCCGGGUGUAGCGGUGAAAUGCGUAGAUAUCCGGAGGAACACCAGUGGCGAAGGCGGCUUUCUGGACCGACACUGACACUGAGGCGCGAAAGCUAGGGGAGCAAACGGGAUUAGAUACCCUAGUAGUCCCUGAGCGGGCUGGCAAGGCGCAU
rnacentral:rRNA from 1 species